rnacentral:ncRNA from 1 species
AUGCGGGGACGACCUCGCAACGCCAUAGCGUUCAUUAUCCGGGGACGACCCCA